rnacentral:rRNA from 1 species
AUUGAACGAGGGCGGAAGGAGGUACAAAGGCAAGUCGAAAUGCAGCGCGGGCUUCGGCCUGGCGGCGAGUGGCGAACGGGUGAGUAAUACAUCGGAACGUGCCCAGUAGUGGGGGAUAGCUCGGCGAAAGCCGGAUUAAUACCGCAUACGACCUGAGGGUGAAAGCGGGGGAUCUUCGGACCUCGCGCUAUUGGAGCGGCCGAUGGCAGAUUAGCUAGUUGGUGGGGUAAAGGCCUACCAAGGCGACGAUCGGUAGCUGGUCUGAGAGGACGACCAGCCACACUGGGACUGAGACACGGCCCAGACUCCUACGGGAGGCAGCAGUGGGGAAUUUUGGACAAUGGGCGAAAGCCUGAUCCAGCAAUGCCGCGUGUGUGAUGAAGGCCUUCGGGUUGUAACCACCUGUUGGCGGGAACGAAAAGGACUGUGCCAAUACCACGGUUCGAUGACGGUACCCGCAGAAUAAGCACCUGCUCCCUACGUC